CCGUGCUCUGAGCUGACCGAGCCUGUGACCAGUUCAAGGACAGAGUGGAAACCAAAUGUCCCUUCUUUGUUUAUUACCAUAACUAUAUCCAGUUUGUGAAAGUUGGCCCUGACACAUUGGUGCUACACUGAAUUGAUAUGUAAAUAUUAUGGAAAGCCUGCCUGGAAAUGCUACCCUGAUAGAGUAGCAGAAAGGGAGAAGCCCAUGGAAAGAGAGAAACUAAAGUGAGCGAAGACAGGAGGGAUGAAAAUGAGAGCACUUACAUGGAGCACUAUAAGGAAGAAGACCAAGAAACUGAAGAGGUUGUGCACUUCCUCUGAGGCAGCAAGAUAGAUAGAUCUCUCUCGAUGCUUCGAGGUGAAGAGCAUGGCUGAGAGUCAGAUGGGACUACUCCCAUCUGCUUUGGGAGAAGGGGGGGACACAGAGGGUACCAGAAAAGCAAACUGAAGGCUUUGGUUUCCUCCCAACUUAGUCCACAUCAGUUACUCUCAAAAGGGGAGGCACCCAAAGUUAUAGCCAACGUGGAAAAUGACUGAGGAAUGGGGAGAACUCCCUGCCUGCCGUACCCUUCCAGGUAUCUGCCGCAGUGAGGAUGACAACAAGAUAAAGUGAAUGAACCUAAAGAGAGUGCGGCAACCAGAAGAGAGAAAUGGGAUGUCACAACCCAACAAUUUCCGUGUCAGGGCAAGAGUCCCUGAAGUCUGUACAUUGUGAAGAAUAUUACCUGGAAUGGCCUCGUGUGGACAGAGAAAAGCUUCAAGA